CAGCAGCCGCGGGAAUACGAAGGGGGCUAGCGUUGCUCGGAAUGACUGGGCGUAAAGGGCGCGUAGGCGGUGGCCAAAGUCAGGCGUGAAAUUCCUGGGCUCAACCUGGGGGCUGCGCUUGAUACUUGGUUGCUUGAGUGGGGAAGAGGGUCGUGGAAUUCCCAGUGUAGAGGUGAAAUUCGUAGAUAUUGGGAAGAACACCGGUGGCGAAGGCGGCGACCUGGUCCUUGACUGACGCUGAGGCGCGAAAGCGUGGGGAGCAAACAGGAUUAGAUACCCCUGUAGUCCCUGUCUCUUAUAC
rnacentral:rRNA from 1 species